rnacentral:lncRNA from 1 species
GAGCUAAGACAAACAAGAGCACAAACCUCUCACUUUCAAAUCUCCAUCAUCCUCAUCAUUGAACCAUUUGACAAGAGUAAUUUUAUAAUGCCAAUCUUAAAGUUCCAAGAAAGCCUAGAGAUGUGCACAUGCCGUAAACUACUGACAAAUGGAGUACUACUAUUAAUAAACCAUGUUGUCAGAAUGGCAAUGAGAUCAGCACUCUUGUUUAUAGUAAGAAAAGCAUUACUAUAACAUUAAAACUGUAUUAAGCAUUACUAUAAUGUUAGCUUGAAG